UACGGGGGGGGCAAGCGUUGUUCGGAAUUACUGGGCGUAAAGGGCUCGUAGGUGGCCAACUAAGUCAUACGUGAAAUCCCUCGGCUUAACCGGGGAACUGCGUCUGAUACUGGAUGGCUUGAGGUUGGGAGAGGGAUGCGGAAUUCCAGGUGUAGCGGUGAAAUGCGUAGAUAUCUGGAGGAACACCGGUGGCGAAGGCGGCAUCCUGGACCGAUAUUGACGCUGAUGCGCGAAAGCCAGGGAGGCAAACGGG
rnacentral:rRNA from 1 species